GAUGAACGCUGGCGGCGUGCCUAAUACAUGCAAGUCGAGCGAACGGACGAGAAGCUUGCUUUUCUGAUGUUAGCGGCGGACGGGUGAGUAACACGUGGAUAACCUACCUAUAAGACUGGGAUAACUUCGGGAAACCGGAGCUAAUACCGGAUAAUAUUUUGAACCGCAUGGUUCAAAAGUGAAAGACGGUCUUGCUGUCACUUAUAGAUGGAUCCGCGCUGCAUUAGCUAGUUGGUAAGGUAACGGCUUACCAAGGCAACGAUGCAUAGCCGACCUGAGAGGGUGAUCGGCCACACUGGAACUGAGCCACGGUACAGACUCCUACGGGAGGCAGCAGUAGGGAAGCUUCCGAGAUGGGCGAAAGCCUGCCGGAGCAACGCCGCGUGAGUGAUGAAGGUCUUCGGAUCGUAAAACUCUGUUAUUAGUGAAGAACAUAUGUAUAAGUAACUGUGCACAUCUUGACGGUACCUAAUCAGAAAGCCACGGCUAACUACGUG
rnacentral:rRNA from 1 species